CAGUCUUGAACUACCCUGUGUACCAGAAAUGGAAGGAUGUAGACAACUCUGGGCUGGUGUCAUUUCCUAGGAAUGGUAACAGGCUCAUUGUGCCCUUACUCAACAAAUAUACUCAGAGAAGUUUUAUGAAAUGAGCUGAGCCCUGCUAUCCAGUGAUACAGAAGGAUCUAGAGUUUAGUGCAGUUCAGAGCAUGGUGAGGAGAAGCAAAGAAAGGGUGAAGGUAGCAGAUUUGCAUGCAUGCCCCUCCUUUCUGAGAGGCAGAGUAUGAGGAUAUGAGUGGUCUGGGGGAGCCAGGCCAGUGCUGGGUCUCAUGAAGCAAUGUUCUUGAGUAACUCCACUAUGGCAUGGGCUCUGCUGCUCCAUAUCCUCCUCUCUCAGGGAACAGGUUAUGGCAUAAGGAAACUGACAAGGGGAUAUGAUGCUUUGUCUUCUCCAGCUCCAAUUCACUUGAACCCAUCCACAAGCAUAUAUGUCUGAGUGUGCUUAUUUAUCUUUAGAAAUGGUUUAUAGAGCUUUGUUUAGGUUCUAGAAGACUUAGAGCAGUGAUCAACACUUACAAGCUCACCAGAAACUUUCCCAGUGAUAGGAAUUAAAUAACCAUGCCUUAAAUCUCGCAUGCUCACUCUGGCACUACCAUCCCACUUUGUGUCUUUUGUACGUGGAGAUUCAAAAUGCAUGAACUACCUCAAGUGCUUUCUCAAAUAAUGAAACUGUUAGUUUUAUUAAUUUUUUAAAAAUGAGAACAUGGUUUUGUUCAACUAUUGAAAUGCUUGAGGUCUUCAUAUUUCAAAAUAUCUGCCUCUUCAAUGCCAUCAGGAAUUUGGCACUCAGGGCAAUUGACUUUCCCUGUAGGGAUUCCUCAAAAAGAGCCAAGGCUACAUUCUUGUCUUAUUCUUUGACCCUCCUAAGGAGUCCAUCUUCAGAUGUGUCUUUCCUUCUUUUCCACCUGCUGCCUGGACCUACACUGGAUAUUCUUGGAGGGGUAAGAAGAAGAGUACAAGCUUUGAUCUCAGUCUCAUCAGAGCAGUGUGAGAGUGACAUUGUUCUCCUUUGACUCCAUCUUUGUCUUUCCUGAUUGCUUUAUUAAUGCACUCUGAAUGACUUUGUUCCUACUGUUUAAAAAACAACAACAGAAACAAAAGCACAGGUAAAUUCUUUCAUAACAUUUUUCCCUAAUGGAAAUCAUCCCUAAUUCCAUUUUACUCUGAGUCUCUAGUCUUGGUAGUUAAGAGAAGUUAAGUUCAGGUUCAUUUCACUUUCUUUUUUUUUUUUCUUCUUGGUACCAGGGAUUGAACUCAGGGGUACUUUAUCACUGAGCCACAUCCCCAGCCCUAUUUUGUAUUUUAUUUAGAGACAGGGUCUCACUGAGUUGCUUAGCACCUUACUUUUGCUGAGGCUGGCUUUGAACUCGUGAUCCUUCUGUCUCAGCCUCUCAAGUUGCUGGGAUUACAGGCAUGUGCCAGCACGC
rnacentral:lncRNA from 1 species